rnacentral:pre_miRNA from 1 species
GUGGUACUCCCUCCGUCCGAAAAUACUUGUCAUCAAAAUGAAUAAAAAGAGAUGUAUCUAGAACUAAAAUACAUCUAGAUACAUCCCCUUUUAUCCAUUUUGAAGACAAGUAUUUCCGGACGGAGGGAGUAUGAA